rnacentral:rRNA from 1 species
UACGGAGGGUGCGAGCGUUGUCCGGAAUCACUGGGCGUAAAGGGCGCGUAGGCGGCGCGGAUAGUCGGCGGUGAAAGCCCGGAGCUCAACUCCGGGUCGGCCGUCGAUACUUCCGGGCUUGAGCACUGUAGAGGCAGAUGGAAUUCCGGGUGUAGCGGUGAAAUGCGUAGAUAUCAGGAGGAACACCUGCGGUGUAGACGGCUUACUGGACCAUCACUGACGCUGAGGCACGAAAGCGUGGGUAGCAAACAGG